UACAGAGGUCUCAAGCGUUGUUCGGAUUCAUUGGGCGUAAAGGGUGCGUAGGUGGCGGGGCAAGUCAGGUGUGAAAUCUCGGGGCUCAACCCCGAAACUGCACUUGAUACUGCCUUGCUCGAGUACUGGAGAGGAGACUGGAAUUCACGGUGUAGCAGUGAAAUGCGUAGAUAUCGUGAGGAACACCUAUGGCGAAGGCAGCUCGCUGGGACGUUACUGACGCUGAGACGCGAAAGCGUGGGGAGCAAACAGG
rnacentral:rRNA from 1 species